rnacentral:piRNA from 1 species
UACAUUUCGGUUAUGGUUUUC